rnacentral:rRNA from 1 species
AUGGCUGAGCAGCCUUCAGCAACCUCCUCGUCUGCUGCUGCUCCUCCUCAGGUGCAAGUGCAAGCUGCUGCUGAACCGGCGACCGAACUUUCCCCGGGUGCUCCUGCCUCGCCCCAUUCCCCGCCGGUUCACCUAGGCGACACGGUGGGGACAACGACGGCAACGGCGUUGGCGGCGACGAGCUCCGGGGAGCCGUCGCCGCGGUCCACUGGGAAGCACCCCUUCUACCGCGGCAUCCGGUGCAGAAACGGCAAGUGGGUCUCCGAGAUCCGCGAGCCGCGCAAGGCGCGCCGCAUAUGGCUCGGAACUUACCCGACGGCCGAGAUGGCUGCCGCGGCCUAUGACGUGGCCGCCCGCGCGCUGCGCGGCUCCGACGCCGUGCUCAAUUUCCCUGGCGCCGCCGCCUCGCGCCCUGUCCCCGCGUCUGCCUCCCCGGAGGACAUACGUGCGGCCGCAGCCGCAGCCGCGGCGGCCGCCCAGCUUUACAGGCCGCACGGCAGCGAGGCGCCUGAUGGCACUGCUUCGACUGCCGCGACAGCGGAGGAGCAGAGACAUCACGGCACAAUAACAAGCGAAGGCGCCGCCGAUGACCGCACGCCGCAGCAUCAGAUGGGCAAUGAGGACUUCAUGGACGAGGAGGCGAUCUUCGAGAUGCCGCAGAUGCUGCGCAACAUGGCGGCGGGCAUGAUGAUGAGCCCGCCAAGGCUGAGCCCCACCGCCUCCGACGAGUGGCCGUUCCCGCCGGGGGCGGGGGAGAGCCUGUGGAGCUACCACGAUCCCUAA